UAACCUGAAGCUUUUAGACCCCCAAAUACAAACAUAUCACAUGGCCUCCAUUUAGAUUACUGGUCAGAUAUGAAGUGAAGAGACCUUUUGGGACCCUUUUAGGCCUGGGCGCAACCAAUGUGCACCAGUGGCACGGGAUUCAUGCAUGCAUUCAUGUUGACUCUGGUGAACGUUGUAUGGGGGGACAGAUACCACACCGCUCGCACCACUAGGAACACAUCUCCCCCUAUGGAUAGGUCUUUUCAUUCAUAUAUUUGGAUUCUUGUCUAUAUUUUAUCUGUAAGCAGAGGAUAUGGAAUGAAUGUGGGUAGAUGCGGACUUGCCACUUUUUUAGGCUAGCUUCACAUCUGUGGCAGAGUUUCUCUGGAUUCGGCAUUGUUGGAUACUGCCGCCUGCCCACCAGAAUCCAUUGACUAUAAUAGGGUCCGGCAGAGAUCCAGCCACUACCUGGAAAAUGCUGCACGUCUGGCCAACUCUAGCCAUUCUCUGCUAGAACAGCCUGCCGUAGGUGUGACGGUAGCCUUAGCGCCAUUGUCAAACAUUAACAUCCUAUAUGGCACCAUCCGAAUAUAGGAUGUAGGCCGAGUUCCCAUCUGCGUUGAGCUUUCCAUUCUUUGGAUCCUUCAGAAGAACAGAGAAAUAAAAUAAAUAACUGAUCCGUCCUUUUUUCAGCAUCAGUUGAGUCAGUUCUGUCAAACAUCAAUUAUUUCUGAAUGUCAGAUGUCAAUUAUUUUUGACGGAAGAAAAUGUCCUGCAUGCAAGACUUUCUCCCGUUAAAAAUAAUUAAUUAAAUGUCUGACAGAACCGACACCAACUGAUGCUAGAAGCUUCAACGUCUCUGCCUGGCCCCAUUAACUAUAAUAGGAACCAGCAGAGAUCUGGCUGCAACCCUGCCAAUAUGGCGAGCGGUUUUCUUCUGGCCGAUUCACGGUAUAUUUGCCGGGUUCUGGCCGGAUAUCCACUGGACCCAAUUAUAGUUUAAAGCUUCCAGCAAUGCUGGAAUGCAGGGAGAUCCGGCAGGCUGCAUGAGGCCACAGAACGUGCGCCAUACGCUCCCAUAGCUACACCAGCUCUCCUUGACAUAUUUGCAAUUGGUCACUGGCUCCCUCUAGUGGACAAUACACAAUAUGACACACACACAUAUAUAUAUAUGUUCAUAUCAGAAGAUACAUCUGGCAGUCGUAUAAAAGGAAGAAUGUAGUCAACUCGAAUGCAAGCAUAAUUACAGAGAAAUAUAAGUCAAGGGUAGACUUAGCAAUAACCAAGUACAUGAAUGCCGAG